AAGAGACAGGCGGGGGCGUUUGUAUGGCUGCGCUAGAGGUGAAAUUCAUGGACCGUAGCCAGACAAACUAAAGCGAAGGCAUUCGUCAAGCAUGUUUUC
rnacentral:rRNA from 1 species